rnacentral:rRNA from 2 species
AGAGUUUGAUCCUGGCUCAGGAUGAACGCUAGCUAUAGGCUUAACACAUGCAAGUCGAGGGGCAGCAUGGUCUUAGCUUGCUAAGGCCGAUGGCGACCGGCGCACGGGUGAGUAACGCGUAUCCAACCUGCCUUACACUCUUGGACAGCCUUCUGAAGGGGAGAUUAAUACAAGAUGUUAUCAUGAGUAAGCAUUUUCGCAUGAUUAAAGGUUUACCGGUGUAAGAUGGGGAUGCGUUCCAUUAGAUAGUAGGCGGGGUAACGGCCCACCUAGUCUUCGAUGGAUAGGGGUUCUGAGAGGAAGGUCCCCCACAUUGGAACUGAGACACGGUCCAAACUCCUACGGGAGGCAGCAGUGAGGAAUAUUGGUCAAUGGACGAGAGUCUGAACCAGCCAAGUAGCGUGAAGGAUGAAGGUUCUAUGGAUUGUAAACUUCUUUUAUACGGGAAUAAACGGAUCCACGUGUGGAUUUUUGCAUGUACCGUAUGAAUAAGGAUCGGCUAACUCCGUGCCAGCAGCCGCGGUAAUACGGAGGAUCCGAGCGUUAUCCGGAUUUAUUGGGUUUAAAGGGAGCGUAGAUGGAUGUUUAAGUCAGUUGUGAAAGUUUGCGGCUCAACCGUAAAAUUGCAGUUGAUACUGGAUAUCUUGAGUGCAGUUGAGGCAGGCGGAAUUCGUGGUGUAGCGGUGAAAUGCUUAGAUAUCACGAAGAACUCCGAUUGCGAAGGCAGCCUGCUAAGCUGCAACUGACAUUGAGGCUCGAAAGUGUGGGUAUCAAACAGGAUUAGAUACCCUGGUAGUCCACACGGUAAACGAUGAAUACUCGCUGUUUGCGAUAUACAGCAAGCGGCCAAGCGAAAGCGUUAAGUAUUCCACCUGGGGAGUACGCCGGCAACGGUGAAACUCAAAGGAAUUGACGGGGGCCCGCACAAGCGGAGGAACAUGUGGUUUAAUUCGAUGAUACGCGAGGAACCUUACCCGGGCUUAAAUUGCAGAUGAAUUACGGUGAAAGCCGUAAGCCGCAAGGCAUCUGUGAAGGUGCUGCAUGGUUGUCGUCAGCUCGUGCCGUGAGGUGUCGGCUUAAGUGCCAUAACGAGCGCAACCCUUGUUGUCAGUUACUAACAGGUUCCGCUGAGGACUCUGACAAGACUGCCAUCGUAAGAUGUGAGGAAGGUGGGGAUGACGUCAAAUCAGCACGGCCCUUACGUCCGGGGCUACACACGUGUUACAAUGGGGGGUACAGAGGGCCGCUACCACGCGAGUGGAUGCCAAUCCCCAAAACCUCUCUCAGUUCGGACUGGAGUCUGCAACCCGACUCCACGAAGCUGGAUUCGCUAGUAAUCGCGCAUCAGCCACGGCGCGGUGAAUACGUUCCCGGGCCUUGCACUCACCGCCCGUCA